UUUAACUGAAGAGUUUGAUCAUGGCUCAGAUUGAACGCUGGCGGCAGGCUUAACACAUGCAAGUCGAGCGGAGAGAGGUAGCUUGC
rnacentral:rRNA from 1 species